GUGGGGGACAACUACUGGAAACGGUAGCUAAUACCGCAUAAUGUCUUUUCUUUCGGGAAUGGACCAAAGAGGGGGACCUUCGGGCCUCUUGCGUUAGGAUUGGCCUAGGUGGGAUUAGCUAGUUGGUGAGGUAAUGGCUCACCAAGGCAACGAUCUCUAGCUGGUCUGAGAGGAUGAUCAGCCACACUGGAACUGAGACACGGUCCAGACUCCUACGGGAGGCAGCAGUGGGGAAUAUUGCACAAUGGGCGAAAGCCUGAUGCAGCCAUGCCGCGUGUGUGAAGAAGGCCUUCGGGUUGUAAAGCACUUUCAGUCGUGAGGAAGGGGGUAAGUUUAAUACGCUUAUCUCUUGACGUUAGCGACAGAAGAAGCACCGGCUAACUCCGUGCCAGCAGCCGCGGUAAUACGGAGGGUGCGAGCGUUAAUCGGAAUUACUGGGCGUAAAGCGCAUGCAGGUGGUUAGUUAAGUCAGAUGUGAAAGCCCAAGGCUCAACCUUGGAAUUGCAUUUGAAACUGGCUGGCUAGAGUACUGUAGAGGGGGGUAGAAUUUCAGGUGUACCGGUGAAA
rnacentral:rRNA from 1 species